rnacentral:rRNA from 1 species
AGGGCACCACCAGGAGUGGAGCCUGCGGCUUAAUUUGACUCAACACGGGGAAACUUACCCGGCCUGGACACUGGAAGGAUUGACAGAUUGAGAGCUCUUUCUUGAUUCAGUGGGUGGUGGUGCAUGGCCGUUCUUAGUUGGUGGAGCGAUUUGUCUGGUUAAUUCCGAUAACGAACGAGACUCUAGCCUAUUAAAUAGGCUCUCGGCUUUUAAACGCCGGGAGGACUUCUUAGAGGGACAGGUGGCGGUUCAGCCGCACGAAAGAGAGCAAUAACAGGUCUGUGAUGCCCUUUGUUGUCCGGGGCCGCACGCGCGCUACACUGAAGAGAUCAGCGUGCUUUACGUUCCUGCUCCGACCGGAGUGGGGAACCCAGUGAACCUUCUUCGUGAUUGGGAUAGAAGAUUGUAAUUAUUCUUCUUGAACGAGGAAUUCCCAGUAAAUGCGAGUCAUAAGCUCGCGUUGAUUACGUCCCUGCCCUUUGUACACACCGCCCGUCGCUGCCCGGGACUGAGCCGUUU